UCUACAAAGACUUAUAUUUAGGAACGGAGGGAGUACUUGCCACCCCCUCUCCAGCGAACAUCAGCUGGGUAACAUUACCGUUAUUUAUUCAUUUCCUCCCUGUUACCGGACCAAUUGUUGCUGUGAUUUCAAAUCGAUAUGGUAGGACACGCGUUGCUUUUACCCCUAAAAAGGACAAGUGUCGCCUUGUUUUUUUUUUCUCAACGUGUAUUUUGUCUAUUCUGGUAACAAGUGACUCCCGCCACUUCCGCCGUGCAGGACGAUGCCUCCUUUUCCUUCCUCAAAUGUUUCAUCCAGCCGCCUACCAGCUCUCGACGCGACAUUCUUCCGCCCCGCUUCAGUCUCCCCCGGUAUUUCUUUCCCUUGUAUCCCCCGGCUCAUCCCAUAGGGAGUACGUGGUUGCCGCCUUUGGGCUCCUCCUACACAGAUCAUCCCUGCUUGCUUGUGCACACGCUACCCAUGUCCCAUGCACCCACACGCAAGGUGUUUGAUAGAAUGCUUAGGAGGACAUGAACUAUGGAUUCUUAAUGAUCAGGCGAUAUGAUAGCAAAAGCCAGAAGGUGGUUUUGCUCGUCCUCUACCUCAUUUGCAAGCAGUAAUCUACCUUUACCUUGUUCAGCUUCACUACCACCUUGUCCAUUGCGGUUCUUUCA